rnacentral:rRNA from 1 species
UACAGAGGUCUCAAGCGUUGUUCGGAUUCAUUGGACGUAAAGGGUGCGUAGGCGGCGCGGUAAGUCGGGUGUGAAAUCUCGGAGCUUAACUCCGAAACUGCAUUCGAUACUGCCGUGCUUGAGGACUGGAGAGGAGACUGGAAUUUACGGUGUAGCGGUGAAAUGCGUAGAUAUCGUAAGGAGGACCAGUGGCGAAGGCGGGUCUCUGGACAGUUCCUGACGCUGAGGCACGAAGGUCAGGGGAGCAAACGGG